CGAACGUUGGCGGCGUGGAUUAGGCAUGCAAGUCGAACGAGAAAGCGCCCUUCGGGGCGUGAGUACAGUGGCGAACUGGUUAGUAACAGGUGGAUAACGUGCCCUUCAGCGGGGGAUAGCCUCUGGAAACAGGGAUUAAUACCGCGUACGCCCUCCCCAUCAUAAGGCGGGGAGGGGAAAGACUUCGGUCACUGAAGGAUCGGUCCGUCCCUGAUUAGCUUGUUGGUGAGGUAACGGCUCACCAAGGCGACGAUCAGUAGCUGGUCUGAGAGGAUGGUCAGCAACACUGGGACUGAGAUACGGGCCAGACUCCCACGGGAAGCAGCAGUCUAGAAGCUUCCACAAUGGACGAAAGUCUGAUGGAGCGACGCCGCGUGCGGGAUGAAGCCCUUGCGGGCGUAAAACGCUGUCAGCAGGGAAGAAUGCCCCGAUGGUGAAUCGGGGAAAGACGGUACCUGCAGAGGAAGCACCGGCUAAUUCCGUGACAGCAGACGCGGUAAUACGGAAAGUGCAAACGUUGCUCGGAAUUACUGGGCGUAAAGGGUGCAUAAGCGGAUUGAUAAGUCUAACGUGAAAUCCCAAGGAUCAACCGGUGGAACUGCACUGGAAACUGUUGAACUUGAGGAUGG
rnacentral:rRNA from 1 species